CAGGGAGUGCUGGAAACUGAAGUCCUCUGUUUACCCACACAAGCAAAGGAACAGUCAAAGCUUCCUCACCCUGCUGCAGAAUGACCUGAAAAGCGACCUUGGAGACCACCAUCCUGAGGGAAGAAGGGUCAGUGAGCCUCCAUCAGGGUCUGCUCAGGGUAUCG
rnacentral:sRNA from 1 species